GGCCUGGUGGUGGAGUGGUAACACACCCGCUUCAAUUUGGGGGUUUUAAGUGGGAAGUCCUUGUUCGAAUUAGGUCAGGCCU